CUCAGCCUCCGCUUCUCUCAGAGCCGCCACCUCUCUUAGUCGCCUCCAUCUCUCUCAGUCGCCGCCAUCACAGAUUCAGCACAGCAGUUCGCAGCCAUCUCUUCAUUUUAUUUACCUCUCUUUCUCUCUGUCUGAUCAGCAAAAAAUU